GAAAAUGGCGACAGCAUUUUCAGAUGAAACAGAUCCAUUGAAAUCCGGCUAUUUGAAGAAUGAUUUUCUUAUCAGUUAUCAUCAAAAAGAAAUAGCAAGUACACGAUCUAAUAUCUGCAAUGCUUUUUGUUUGCAAUAUAACCAAUAAUCAACACAUUUCUUUGUUUGAAAUAUCUUUAUCGUAAGUUCAUAACGAAAACACAUCACACAUUCACAAACAUCAUUCGUUCACAAUUAUCCAAUAUAACGAAAGGUAAUUCAUUCAUAGCAUUUUCUACAACGAAGUUUAUCUUAUGUAAGCAAUUAUUUCAUGAAAAUUAUUGUAGUGUUUUCACCGGUUAGCUAUUCGUGGGUUUUAAUACAAUUUUAAUAUAAUAACAACAAUCACUAGCAACGACACUAAAUACGCUACUCACAUGGGCAUUGACUGGAAUCCACGUCAGGAUGGCACCAAACGUCCUCGUCGUCUUCGAGGGAACUCGUCGGCUCGUCCACGUCACGAAAUGGCACUAUACAUGUACUUCUGGGAAUACACCUCCAGGCAAAUAUACGUACUUAAACACACAGUCACCGGCUUACAUACACAUAUACUUCUGGGAAUACACUUCCAGGGAAAUACGUGUCAAUGACACAAUCACAGGCAACUCACAGACUCACAUACACAGUCCAGACUCACUUAUAUCUUCUGGGAAUGGCCUUCCAGGUAAUUACGUGUUGAACACACAUAAAAUACAAUAUAAUACAAUACUUACAGGCUCACAGCUAGACACUGGCUAACAUACACAGGCUUAACCCCCUGGAACUACUAAUGUACUCAGGGUUACACGCACAGGUUCACAGUUACAGGCUCACAGUUACAGACACACAUAUACAAUACAAUAACAUAUAAAAUAUACAGGCUCACAAUUCCUCACACAAUACUCACAUUGGGACAUAGGCACAUAAACACAUCUACUCACCUCAACGUCCCGUGCACAAGAGACCGUACAAACUCGUGCUGCCCAGCAUGCACUAUACCGAUUUGUCGCUGGUUCCCAGUCACGAGGUAUGUGCGCGUUUUAUAGGCUGGGCACCGGCACAACAUUAUGAUGAAUAGAUGCCUAACAUGUGAACAUCAUCACAAGUCACGUGACCAUGAAGACAAAUACCAAACAUUUUAAGAAAUACCUUGACAGAUGAAUUAUAACCAUUUGGAUUAUAAAUAUUCUUCAACAUUAACUUAAAAAAAAUAAAUAACAAGGAAACAUUAACUGUCCUUUAGCUUAAUUCAAUUUCAUUUUCAAUCUCCACUGUUCACAAUUUCAAAUUAGAUCUUUUUUCAUCACACAUCUUAACAAGGGCAUUCAAUCCAUAAAAUUUUGCCUCUAGGCUUACGCAAGCCAAUUCACGCCUGGUGUUUGGAAGAACGUCCAAAGAGAUGUGGCAUUUCUGCUGUGUUGAUAUCUGAGAUGGUUCAGGAUAAUGUCAAAGACUGAAACAUUUGUUUAUCAGUGAAGGGACCUUCAGCUUAAACUCGCUUAGGACUUUCUCCGCCUCUGCUCCACGUGCGCCCGUCAUCUGUACAAACCUAAUAUAGUCCUCCUUUUGAUUAUGGCACGUACCACUGCCAGGCGUGUUUCGGUGGAAGACCUUACAACACCGAACACAUUUCCAGGAGACCCCGGAAUGCUGCUCCACCACAUGAUUGUAACAUUUCAUACGUGUUGGGAACCUGAUAUCCCCACAAACGAGGCAGUCUAUUUUCAGAACCUGAAGGAUGACCAAAAACAAGAUCAAUGGGCAAUCUCAUGUCGUCACCGAACAUCAUUUUAUAUGGGGUGUGACCAGUAGCAGAGUGAACAGAUGACCUGUAUGCCAUCAAGCAGAAAGAGCGAUUCAAUGAUGCGUGACGGGAACGAUCCAACCAAGCAUGACCGGACACAAUAGCAGAAGAUUUUUAUUUUCAUUGUCAUAAUAAAUAAACAACAAAAUGCUU